GUCCCUGUUGGGCAAUGGGUAGCGCGUUAGACUUCUUAUCCAAAGGUCGUGGGUUCGAAUCCCACCUGGGAUG